rnacentral:rRNA from 1 species
CGGGACGGGUGAGUAACGCGUGGAUAACCUGCCUCACACUGGGGGAUAACGGUUAGGAAUGACUGCUAAUACCGCAUAAGCGCACAGUACCGCAUGGUACGGUGUGAAAAACUCCGGUGGUGUGAGAUGGAUCCGCGUCUGAUUAGCCAGUUGGCGGGGUAACGGCCCACCAAAGCGACGAUCAGUAGCCGACCUGAGAGGGUGACCGGCCACAUUGGGACUGAGACACGGCCCAA